AGGCUGAAAUUACGCCUACAUGAAGCCGGAAUUGCUAGUAAUGGCAGGUCAGCAUACUGCCGUGAAUACGUUCCCGGGCCUUGUACACGCCGCCCGUCACACCAUGAGAGUUGGGGAUACCCAAAGCCCGUGAGCCAACUGUAAAGAGGCAGCGGUCUAAGGUAGAAUCAAUGAUUGGGGUGAAGUCGUAACAAGGUAGC
rnacentral:rRNA from 1 species